GUCUGCCUGAGAGCCUGCUGCCACAGAAGUGUGAUUACAUGACAUUUUUAGGUGAGAAAAAGGACUGUAAAAGCCAAACUGUGGGAGGACUCCCAGGCUGAACAAGCAGAUGUGAAAUGGAUGCACAUUGGAUUGCCUACUUCUGUUGGUCAGAUGCCCCAGAAUAUUCUGAUUAACCUUCACUGAAAGGGUGCGGAAAGAUCAUGCUACAAUAGUUCUGACUCCUUCCUCUUCCUGAACUUAAAGAGAAAAGAAGCCCUUCUUUUUUUUUUUUGUUUUUUUUCCUGUCUUCAUAUGUCUCCUUCAUUAAUUUGGAGAAAAUAAAACAUCACUUUUACUUCUGUAUAUGAUCGAUGAAGUGGCUUUCU
rnacentral:lncRNA from 1 species